rnacentral:rRNA from 1 species
UACGUAGGGUGCAAGCGUUGUCCGGAAUUAUUGGGCGUAAAGAGCUCGUAGGCGGUCUGUCGCGUCGGCUGUGAAAUCCCGAGGCUCAACCUCGGGUCUGCAGUCGAUACGGGCAAACUAGAGUAUUGCAGGGGAGACUGGAAUUCCUGGUGUAGCGGUGAAAUGCGCAGAUAUCGGGAAGAACACCCGUGGCGAAGGCGGCUCUCUGGGACGGUACUGACGCUGAGACGCGAAAGCGUGGGGAGCGAACAGG